rnacentral:rRNA from 1 species
UACGAAGGGGGCUAGCGUUGCUCGGAAUCACUGGGCGUAAAGGGUGCGUAGGCGGGUCUUUAAGUCAGGGGGGAAAUCCUGGAGCUCAACUCCAGAACUGCCUUUGAUACUGAAGAUCUUGAGUUCGGGAGAGGUGAGUGGAACUGCGAGUGUAGAGGUGAAAUUCGUAGAUAUUCGCAAGAACACCAGUGGCGAAGGCGGCUACCUGGACCAGCACUGACACUGAGGCACGAAAGCGUGGGGAGCAAACAGG